rnacentral:tRNA from 2 species
AAUAAGGUGCCUGAACGAAAAGGAUUAUUUUGAUAGAAUAAAUUAUGUAAUAUUAUACUCUUAUUA